UUGUUUUUAUAUUUCGUCUGUCACCUUGGCCUUGUCAUCUGGGGCAAUGGCAUAAUGGAGCACAAGAAAUGGAAGUAAAGGAAAAAUGUCAACAAUUUGAAUAAUUCCAUUUGGUCUUCUUACCUUGUGGCCUGAUGUACCAGUGUAUCAGGACAGCUGUGUAGGAAGUCACAAGAGGAAUUACCACCAACAUUUGUUCCUGACAACAGAGAAACUGGAGCUCAUCCACAGACCCCACAGCCAAAAUCAGAUCGGCCGUCAGCCCAGGAAGAAUCCACCUGUCGGCAUUCUUGACCAGCGUUCGCCUGGACAUUUACCUCAGAGAAAAGCCCUCGGAUUCCUUCCUAAAUAAAUGCUUCAUCACAAAGAAAAAGCAAGAAUAGGAAUGCUUGCUGCAGAAAGCCCCUCCUGGUAAUCAACAGCCAUGGCUACUAGUGCGUUUUUGUGACUGCGCUCAGCCACUGUGGGAAAUGACAUUUCCAGCCUCCAAGGUUGAACUCUCACCUUGCUGGCCUCCUCACUGCCAUAUUUUGAGAGUCUGGUGAAAGGCCUCCCUUGGCCAACAAAAGACAGGAGGAAGCAACAGGGGAUUAGUGCGGGGCCAGAACAUGAGGACAGGACUUGAAGGGACCGACCUGGGGAAAGAACAACGCUGGGCUUUGGGAAACGGUCCUGCGUCUGAUUGACAAAAAAUGCGACUCGGGAAGUGACUCAAGACUCCUUCCCACCACUGGGUUAACUCAGGACUGGCUUGGGAAGAGAGGGGCACUGAAAGGGAGUCUUCGAUGAGCAUACAGAGAAGAGGAAAGGGAUAGGAGAGAUGGGGAGGGGAGUCGUGUGAUCCCUCAGACCAGGUAUAGUCAGAACCUGAGUCCUGAAACUCAAAUCAUCGAUUUGACUUUUUUCAAAGUCUCUGCUGGCCUCAAAUCUCUGAGCCCCGGACCUAGGCUGACCACCCUUGGCGUCACCCUCAGGGCUCACUUAAAACCUGGUUAGCUCUUUGAACACCACCCAGCGGUCUCCACACUUGGUCCUCUGACAGUGCUUGUCUGCAUUGGGCUUGUAGGCAGAGCUCUGAUUCUGACCCCAGGCAGUUGGCAGCCUGGCCUCUUCCUCUGGCCUCCCUCCUGUGUGCCUCUCCUGUGCCCCCCACCUACCUCAACAUGAAGGUAUUCAGGUCCACAGUUUAGACAUCCUGUGAGGUACUAGAGAUACCAUCUGAAUCCAGCUCUGUCCGUCUGUCCCAGUCUAGUAUAGAGCAGUGUUUUUUUUUAAAAUGUUUUUAACGCCAAUUCACAGAAAGAUGAAAUUUUGCAUAAUUACUUAAUGCACAUACCUACACAAAUAUACUUAUAUGUGUGUAGGUAUGUGUAUUAAAAUUAAAUAACUACAAUUACACAAAACAACACUAAUUAAGGAGCCAUAAAAUGAAUUCUGAUAUUUUUUGUUCUAUUCUACUCAUUUUUUAACGCCAGUCACAACCCACUAAGUUGAUUUUAUGAUCUGCAAUUUUAAAAACCCUGGAUUAGUGGAGGAGACAGACAAGAAAAUAGAUUAUUAUAAUGUGGUUUGGAUGGUAUUACUGUAAGGUCACAGUCAGGGUACCACUGGAGCACCAAGGAGAAGAACCAGCAGGAAAGCAGAUGCCAGUAACAUGCUUGUGGCAUCUCCUCCCACUGUGCUCCACUGCCUCCCAGGGCCUCCAGGAAGGUGACAGGAGCUGCGAUUUUUACAUGGCUGUGGAUGGUAGGACUGGGAUCAUCAACCAGAAGGAUAGGAGGAGCAGGGAAAAGGAUCGCUGGCUGAAGUGACAACAUGUGGAGGAGCAAAGGGCCCGGGAGCUGGCCUUGCGUGAGAAGCAGACAGUGGAUGUAAGCAGAAUGCAGAGGCUGAGCGGGAGGACUUCACCCUGAGGGUACUGGGAGGGCCUGCAGAAGAUUUCAAGUGGAUCAGGUUUAUGUCUUAGAAAACCUGGGUGGAUGCUGCUAGAAAAGAAAACAUGUCCCACAGCCAAACUGUGAACAAUUUGGAGAAGACACUUUCAGACCAAAAAUACUCACAAUUUACUCUGUGGUAGGUUUUUAAUAUUAGGGGAGAGAAAAAGAAUGAGAAGACUAAGAUGCAGUGGCGACUUGUCGUUUCACUUUAUUCUUCAGCCUUCCACUCUUGGUUAGGCUCCUGGAAUACGAUAAAUUUCAGACUGAAGUUCUCUCAGAGGUCGCUUGAGAAAGCUGAGGGCAGACAGAAAGUGUCCAUGCCAGGGUCGCCUGGAUGGGUCAGUGAGGAGGGAUCCAACAGCAGGCAUUUCUGUAGCUAAAUUUAUGCUGUUCAAUAGGGCAGUCACUAGAUCCUUGUGGCCAUUUAGAUUUAAAUUUAAGUUAAUGUAAAUUAAAUUUUUUUACAAAAUCCAGUUCCUCAGUCACAUUUCAAGAGCUUAUGUGGCUGGUGGUCACUGGAGCGGUCAUUUCCAUCACUAGAGAAAGUUCUGUUGGACAGCAUUGCUUUAGAUAACUUCGUUCAGCCACAUGUUAAGUCAUUCUUCAUAUCUCACGAUUUGUAUAUUCUGAGACAAAUCUGCAAGUAGAGAGCUGGACUUAGAGAACAAGGAUGUUCUGCUUCACUCCAGAUAGUUUCUGGUUAUUGCUAGUGGUCUUUUGUUUGAACCAAGGCCAGAGAAAGGACUCUCUCAAGGCUUGUUCAUUCUCUUUUCCUCUCACUUUUGUUCUCAGUCUCUCUCUCUCUCACACAUGCACAAAUACACACAAGAAUCUUUUCUUAUACCUUGAAAGCCUUUUCCUGAGGAAAAAAAUAUGCUCGGUGACAAGGCCAUAUCUAAUAGGAUUUGGACAUUUCUUCCUUUCCCCAACAAUUAGUACAGAUAAAAUAAGGUUAUCAUGAGAAGUCAGGGCAACCUUGAUCCACUGGGCUCUCAGAGAAUAAAUAUGAGGAACGAUAAUCCUUAGGAAGAUGUGUCACAGAGGAGUAGUGUCCCACAGGGAGUGAGAACAGAGUGCUUCUGAUUACGCUUCACAUGGCUGGAAUGAGCCGCGUUCCUCGAAACCUGCUCAGAGGCCAGCCUGACUGAGGUCAGCAGGGAAGGCCCAUGAACUUUCAAAAUGCCUCCCCAAAACAGGCUGCAUCCAGCAAACUCAUGGGACCCCUGCCCACCAUGUCCACUGCCACUGUCCUUGCCUUGACUCCUCCUGGACACCUGAAGAUGCUGACCUGGGGUGGGUCCACUGGCUUACAUGAAAUCAUAGAAGAGGACCUGCUCGUGAAGAGUUGCUUGGCAGCUAAUGGCAAGACAAGGCUCAGAACCUGGGUUUCCAGUUACCUGGCAUGGAGCUUUUCCCAGUGGAUAUCACGGUAUUUCAUAUUUUGUUAAAUUCUAUAAAGCUAUUAAUAUUGGAAGAACAAUUCCUUUUCUUCAGGGUCAAAAGAGAAAGAGUUAAGUGCCCCUUGAAAAAUACACGUGAAAAAAAAAACACAUGUAGUUACAAUUAACACAUAAUUCUACCAAGUACUGAAAAGUUUAAAAAGAAAUUGUACCUGUGAAAGGCCUCUUACCACAUUUUACAGUGUUCAGUAAAUGGAGAUUAUGGCUGUUCUUACCUUGGUGACCAAGUAGUAGAACUGAGACAGACUUUUAUACUCAGACAGAGCUGGGUUCAAGUCCAAGCCCGUCCAAUUUCUACCUGGAGGCCUUUCGGCAAAACUAAUUCUAGAAAAAUGUGGAGCGGUGUAAAGUACUAAUGGGCAAAUUUAUAUUAAAUAAGGUAUGUCUAAAAAGUAAGCACUAUAGAUUGUUUUCCCCACUUGGACAAAAACUUACCUGUUCAUCAUUAGCAUGUUCAAUGAGUGAUCAAAUAUGAAAGCAAGUCUAUUCUGCAUUAAAAAGCCACACAAAAGCAUCCCUAAUAUACCAGGAACAGUGCUAUUAUAAGUAAUAAAUUAAAAAGUCCACUGAUCUCUCUCUCUCGUUCUUUCCAUGUGGCUGUUACAUACGUUUAUGAGAUUUCUCACCUUGCCGAUAG